ensembl:lncRNA
CUAAACAGGAGAGGUUUUACCCCAAAACAUCGGUACGGCGCUCACCCCUCCUCACACUCGGCGCUGGGCGCUCCGGAGAGCGGCGGCCUCCGCUCUGAGGGUGGGGGGAUCCCACCCCAACCCUCUCCCUCCCAGAAUGCGGGGUUCAAAUCACGAGCACCCCAUGGCGCCGGGCAGCUCCUCAGCGCGUCCGGGUGCCAACGCGAGGCGGGCGCUCGGCACGGGCUGCGGCGUUCCUCCUGGAAUUAAAGAGAGAGCUGCGUUAGUCACAGGAAUGGGCCAAGCUUGGUCAAAUCGUGGUUUUUUUCUUUUUUUACGAACAGUGAGGCCGCCCCAGGGCCACCUUUCUUUCCUGGGAAACCCGCCGUGAGGCUGCAGGCCCAAGUUUCCCCCCCACACACCCCGCAGCACGUUUCCUCGCCCCGCAGCCACGGCCCCGCAACUUCCGCACUUCUCCUCGGCCCAGGAGCCAGCCGUGCCCCGACCACCGCCCCCCUCCUGCGGGGCAGAGCAGGCGGCUCUGGUGCCAACGUCCCUUCCAAGCCGCAAUGCUGCCGCUCACGCAGGGCGUGAUGGGUUCGGGUGGCGUCAGAGGGCCCCAAGGCUCGCCUUACCUCCGCGGGAUCCGGGCACAGCGUGAUUCGGGGGCUCAGAUCACUGCCCACGGCUUGGCGGGCGGCUUUACAGCUGCGAUACUGGCACGGGAUCCGGGCACAGCGUGAUUCGGGGGCUCAGAUCACUGCCCACGGCUUGGCGGGCGGCUUUACAGCUGCGAUACUGGCACGGGAGGAACCUCGCGAGGCCAAGGCAGGGCUGGAGCCACCGCUCCUCCCUCCGCCCAGCGCAUCGUGGUACAAGAGGUGCAGAAAUCGGGAGUUAAAGCCCUGCGGGAGAAGAGUCACAGUUAAAGGAGGCAGCAAAGCCCCAGCAGACACCGCAGGCAAGGCAAGAGCCGCUCAAAUGUGUCCCAAGACUUCGACGGCCUCCCCACGGGGUGCAGGGGGAGGCCCCAGAGCUCCUGGGGGUGCUCUGGCAAGCGCUGCAGGAAUGGACGGGGCCACUGCAGACCCCACCACGCUGGAAGGCUUGCGGCCGCUGGAGCCUUGUGGGUGCUGUCACGGCAAGAAACGCCGUGCUUGGCAAACCACGGGCGCUCUGUGCAACAGGCAGACCUCGCAGGGAAGCCCCACGUGGCGGCAGCUCGGUGCCUCGCCACCACGAGGUACGGGCAGAGCAAGGGGCAAAACGGGAACACGCUGAGGAGAGCCCUCGUGGGGUGCAGGGCCUCGAACCCUACAGCAUCAGCUGAGCCUCCCUGUUACCUGCCGGGGCACAAAGCAGCCCCAGGCUGUGGUUUUCCUGCAGGGACUCGUUUGGUGGCCCCAAAGAGACCACGAGGUCUUUAAGACCUCAUCGUUCAGGCCUGACAGCGCAGAGCCAGACUAACUGGUGUCAUGGGGUGCAGAAGGAAGGGCCCACAGGGCGGCCCCGCUAACUUACCCGCUGGGUCCGCGCAGCUUCAGACGCCCUCCACGGCCGCCGGAGGGGAGGCUGCGACCUGGGGAGAAGCAGCACGGCGUUAGGAGAGGGAAGGGAUGGGAAAGGGGGGGCUCUGCAGGCCCAGUGGGAACGGGUGAACCCCCCCCAGCCCCCUGCCCCCAUCUCCCACCCUCGCAGAGGCCGGGGCCGUGUGUGGGAUUUCUAUAGCCUCCCCCCGAGGGGCGCAGGGGGAGGCCUCAAACCACCCCGGGGCUGCUCUGGCAAGCGCUGCAGGAACGGCCGGGGCCACCGCAGGCCCCACCAUGCUGGACGGCUUGCGGGGGUUGGGGGGGGGGGGCAGGCUGGGGCCUCACACGGACCCCGGGCGCAGGCCGCAGCUCCGCAUCCCGGCACGGACGCCGUAACGAAACCCAUCCGGGGCAAAUCCCGUCACCGCGCGGCGCCCUCACCCCUCCUGCGGCCCUCAGGGGCGGCUCCGGCGGCGGAUGGCGGCGGAUGGCGGCGGAUGGCGGCGGAUGGCGAGGGGCCCUACCUCCCUCCACGGCCGCCAUGGCUACGAGAGCGCCGCGGCGCGUGACGUCAGCGCGCUGCGGCGGGCGUCGGCGAGCGAGGGGGCGUGGUCACGCACGGGAGGGCGUGGUUAUGCAAAUCGAGCGGGCGUGGCCCCGCCCUUCCCGGCGGAGGAGGACUGACGUCAGUCCUCCGCGGCCGCCGCGCGGGGCACGCCGGGAAGGCGCCGCCCAAGAUGGCGGCGGGCUGG